rnacentral:tRNA from 1 species
ACUGGGUUGGAGAAGCGGUUAUCUCAACACCCUUUCAAGGUGUUGUCACGGGUUCGAAUCCCGUACUCAGUA